rnacentral:lncRNA from 10 species
AAAAAUCGGAAUUGGCAGAUACUCUCUCGGUUACUCCCUGGUUGCAGUUAAUGAGCAGCCUGUUCGCCUGCAGCCUUUAGACAGGGAACAAGGGGCACAGCUUUUCCCACUUUAUUGGUUACUGACUGGGAAAGAAGGAUUCCACUAGCACUGCUUGGCUAUCAAAGCUGGGCAAUGUGAUCCUCUAAGCCACAUGUUUAGGAAUUGACAAACAAUUGUGGAGGUUGGCAAUUCCAAAAUCUGAGGAGUAGGUAAACUGGAAGACUAGAGACCCUGGGAAGAGUUGAUGUUACAGCUUGAAUCUGAAGGCAGUCUGCUGGAAGAAUCCCCUCUUUCUUGUAGAAGCCCCUUGACUGGGCAAACUUCAAACAAGUGACUGAGCUCCCUUAGCUGCCACUGAUUGGACCAGGAUGGACAACAAAUGUAGGAGGAGUUCAUCUGGAUCUAGCCUGAGCCAGUCAGAUAUCCCCUUUGAAUCCAUGCCUAUAGAAAUACAAAAAAAUGGAAGCCAGAGGAUGAUGGAUCCUUGAAGUAAUAAGUCAGGUAGAUCUUGAAAAUUUUUGACUCAAUCCAUAUUGAUGAACACAAGAAUAAUUCUGGUCUACAAAGAGAGGCAAGAGAAAGACUUGGGGUGUAUUAAGAAAAACAGCUCUGUGGAAGUUUGAGUGACUCAUUGCAGAGAGGAAUUGAUGAAGUCAACAGCUGCUGGAAAAACUUCUUUUUCCUUAAUAGCUGUAUCAACAUGUGGUUGCUAUUAUUCAAGUAAGAAAAAUAUGUAUAUCAAACAUCCAUGGUAGUCCUUGCUAAAAUUUUCAUUAGAGAGACUCAUGUUUUGACAUUAAAAAAAGUUCAAAUGGGUACCUUAGAGGAUGUUUUGUUGGAGAACAAAAUCAUGGAGAAAUAAAGUCUAAAAAGAAAAAUAAAUGGCAAGCAUGUUGUUAAUAAUGCUGUAAUUUAUUUCAGAGUGGGUUGGGUGAUUUUCUU